rnacentral:misc_RNA from 1 species
GAUGAAGAACGUAGUGAAAUGCGAUAAGUAAUGUGAAUUGCAGAAUUCAGUGAAUCAUCGAAUCUUUGAACGCACAUUGCGCCCGCCAGUAUUCUGGCGGGCAUGCCUGUUCGAGCGUCAUUUCAACCCUCAAGCCCAGCUUGGUGUUGGGGAUCGGCACAGGCGCCCUCGGGCGCCCGCCGUCCCCUAAAUCUAGUGGCGGUCCCGCUGCAGCCUCCUCUGCGUAGUAGUUUUCUCCUCGCAAGGGCAGCUCGGGGGCGACCUCGCCGUAAAACCCCCAACUUCUGAAAGGUUGACCUCGAAUCAGGUAGGAAUACCCGCUGAACUUAAGCAUAUCAAUAAGCGGAGGA